rnacentral:rRNA from 1 species
UACGUAGGGUGCGAGCGUUAAUCGGAAUUACUGGGCGUAAAGCGUGCGCAGGCGGUUUGCUAAGACCGAUGUGAAAUCCCCGGGCUUAACCUGGGAACUGCAUUGGUGACUGGCAGGCUGGAGUAUGGCAGAGGGGGGUAGAAUUCCACGUGUAGCAGUGAAAUGCGUAGAGAUGUGGAGGAAUACCGAUGGCGAAGGCAGCCCCCUGGGCCAAUACUGACGCUGAGACGCGAAAGCCAGGGGAGCGAACGGG